rnacentral:snoRNA from 1 species
AUCCUUUUGUAGUUCAUGAGCAUGAUGAUUGGGUGUUCAUGUGCCUGCGUGACGUGUGCCUCUCUCAACCCUUGUUACAACAUCGCCACAUUACCCAUCUGACA